rnacentral:rRNA from 1 species
GAUGAACGCUAGCUACAGGCUUAACACAUGCAAGUCGAGGGGCAGCAUGAACUUAGCUUGCUAAGUUUGAUGGCGACCGGCGCACGGGUGCGUAACGCGUAUCCAACCUUCCCGUUACUCAGGUAUAGCCUUGCGAAAGUAAGAUUAAUCCCUGAUGAUAUAUGUUUACUGCAUGGUGAUCAUAUUAAAGAUUUAUCGGUAACGGAUGGGGAUGCGUUCCAUUAGGUAGUUGGUGAGGUAACGGCUCACCAAGCCCGCGAUGGAUAGGGGUUCUGAGAGGAAGGUCCCCCACACUGGAACUGAGACACGGUCCAGACUCCUACGGGAGGCAGCAGUGAGGAAUAUUGGUCAAUGGUCGGAAGACUGAACCAGCCAAGUAGCGUGAGGGAUGACUGCCCUAUGGGUCUUAAACUUCUUUUGUAAGGGAGCAAUAAGUCUCACGUGUGGGAUGAUGAGAGUACCUUACGAUAAGCAUCGGCUAACU